GAGACCCGUAUCCCCCGUUGCUAUCAGUCUUGAGCUGAGCACACUGGGGAGACCGCCGCCGAUAAGGCGGAGGAAGGAGCGGGCCACGGCAGGUCAGUAUGCCCCGAAUCUCCCGGGCCACACGCGAGCUGCAAUGGCAGGUACAAUGGGUUCCGACCUCGAAAGGGGAAGGAAAUCCCGAAAGCCUGCCGUAGUUGGAAUCGAGGGUUGAAACCCACCCUCGUGAACAUGGAAUCCCUAGUAAUCGCGCGUCACUAGCGCGCGGUGAAUAC
rnacentral:rRNA from 1 species